AUUCUUCUUUGGUUCAUAAGUGUCAUGAUUGGGUUUGCAUGCUGUUGUGUGAGAUGUGCCUCCCUCUAAACUUGUUACGACACGGGCACAUUACCCAUCUGAUG